CAAAUAUCACAUUGAUGACAUGAAGUCUCAACUGGCUAGGGAAUUUGAAAUGAAGGACUUGGGACCAGCAAACAAGAUUCUAGGGAUGCAAAUUCACCGAGACAGAAAUAAUAGGAAGAUUUGGCUUUCUCAGCAGAAUUAUCUGAAGAAAAUCUUGCGGCGCUUCAACAUGCAAGAUUGUAAGUCAAUUUCUACCCCUCUUUCUAUUAAUUUCAAGUUAUCCUCAAGUAUGAGUCCUAGCAACGAAGCAGAGAGGAUGGAGAUGUCUCGAGUACCGUAUGCAUCAGC